GACCAGACUCCUACGGGAGGCAGCAGUGGGGAAUAUUGCACAAUGGGGGAAACCCUGAUGCAGCGACGCCGCGUGAGUGAAGAAGUAUUUCGGUAUGUAAAGCUCUAUCAGCAGGGAAGAAAAUGACGGUACCUGACUAAGAAGCCCCGGCUAACUACGUGCCAGCAGCCGCGGUAAUACGUAGGGGGCAAGCGUUAUCCGGAUUUACUGGGUGUAAAGGGAGCGUAGACGGCAUGGCAAGUCAGAUGUGAAAGCCCGGGGCUCAACCCCGGGACUGCAUUUGAAACUGUCAGGCUGGAGUGCAGGAGAGGUAAGUGGAAUUCCUAGUGUAGCGGUGAAAUGCGUAGAUAUUAGGAGGAACACCAGUGGCGAAGGCGGCUUACUGGACUGUAACUGACGUUGAGGCUCGAAAGCGUGGGGAGCAAACAGGAUUAGAUACCCGCGUACA
rnacentral:rRNA from 1 species